AUUGAACGCUGGCGGCAGGCCUAACACAUGCAAGUCGAGCGAGCGGCGGACGGGUGAGUAAUGUAUGGGGACUGCCCGAUAGCGGGGGAUAACUACUGGAAACGGUGGCUACUACCGCAUACUAUCGGAUAACCCAUAUGGGAUUAGCUAGUAGGAGGGGUAAAGGCACACCUAGGCGACGAUCUCUAGUUGGUCUGAGAGGAGGAUCAGACACACCGGGACUGAGACACGGCCAAGACUACUACGGAGGCAGCAGUGGGUAAUAUUGCACAAUGGGCGAAAGCCUGAUUCAGCCAUGCCGCGUGUGUGACGAAGGCCUUAGGGUUGUAAAGUACUGUCAGCGGGGAGGCGUUACCCGCAGAAGAAGCACCGGCUAACUCCGUGCCAGCAGACGCGGUAAUUC
rnacentral:rRNA from 1 species